UACAGAGGUGGCAAGCGUUGUUCGGAUUUACUGGGCGUGAAGGGUGCGUAGGCGGCAUCGUGUGUCGGAUGUGAAAGCUCACUGCUCAACAGCGGAAUGGCAUCCGAAACUACGGAGCUGGAGUACGGGAGAGGAGAGCGGAAUUCUCGGUGUAGCGGUGAAAUGCGUAGAUAUCGAGAGGAACACCGGUGGCGAAAGCGGCUCUCUGGACCGAUACUGACGCUGAGGCACGAAAGCUGGGGGAGCGAAGAGG
rnacentral:misc_RNA from 1 species